GCUCCUUCAACUACCACUACUAUGAAAUCAACUAAUGAUGCAGCUCUCUCAGCUAACAAACCUGCAAAAUCUACAGGAGGCAUUGAUGGAAGAACAGUAUCAAUCAUUGUGAUAUCGUUGUUAGCAAUGUGCCUUUUUUGCAUAAUUGCAUACCUUGUAUUCCGCAUUCGGUCAUUGUCCAGGAGACUCAAAUCACAAGCUUCU